GCUCGCUUUGUCUAGUGGUUAGGAUGCAACCCUGUCACGGUUGAGACGCGGGUCCGAUUCCCGCAGCGGGCG
rnacentral:tRNA from 1 species